rnacentral:rRNA from 1 species
GAUGAACGCUGGCGGCGUGCUUAACACAUGCAAGUCGAACGAUGAAGCCCAGCUUGCUGGGUGGAUUAGUGGCGAACGGGUGAGUAACACGUGAGUAACCUGCCCUUGACUCUGGGAUAAGCGCUGGAAACGGCGUCUAAUACCGGAUACGAGCUUCCACCGCAUGGUGAGUUGCUGGAAAGAAUUUCGGUCAAGGAUGGACUCGCGGCCUAUCAGGUAGUUGGUGAGGUAACGGCUCACCAAGCCGACGACGGGUAGCCGGCCUGAGAGGGUGACCGGCCACACGGGGACUGGGAACCGGCCCAGACUCCUCCGGGGGGCAGGGGUGGGGAAUUUUGCACAAGGGGCGAAAGCCGGAUGCAGCACCGCCGGGGGGGGGACGAAGGCCUUCGGGUCGUAAACCUUUUUUAGCAGGGAAGAAGCGAAAGGGACGGUACCGGAAAAAAAAGCACCGGCUAACUACGU